GAAUAUUUGAAUUCCUGUGUGGUUUUGUGUUCCCAUUGACCACGGCCACUCCAUUUAUUAACUGAUUGGCUGCAAAGUAAAACAGUGACAGCAGUCAAGCAGCUGGGGAAUGAGCUGCUGAAUAUGUAGAAAACUGAACUUAACAGAAAGUAGCAAAUGGAAUUCACGAUGUAAAGACUGAUAUUCGUUUCACAGAAAGGUCAUUGUCUUAGAUAACUUUUAUCGAUUUUCACAGGAGUAUAAUAAGAACUGCAAUUUUUUCUUUUCUUUUUGUUUCUUUUCCUUUCUCUUCCUCUCUCUCUAAUCUUUCUCUCAAGAAUCCGUCUAUUAUUUGUGUGACACGCAGCAACAAGAAUUCAAUUCAUGACAAUAAUUUGAGUUCUUUUAUAGAUUGCAACUAUGGCU
rnacentral:misc_RNA from 1 species